rnacentral:lncRNA from 1 species
AAUUAGACCAAUGCCCUCUUGAUCAAUUGAAAUUUCAUAAAAUUUAUUACAAUGAAUAACUACUGAGGGAACAUAGGACUUCUUACAUAUCUUUUCUAAAUAUAAAAUGUAUAUCUUCAUCAAAGUCUUCUAUGUUAUAAUUCAGCUUCAUGUGCAUGCAGUUCCUAAUGUUAGCAGUAAUCAGAGCACUCCUGCACAACAACCGCGACGACAAUCUUCCUUCUCUUUAUCAUCGCUCACCAUCUGUGUCCUGUCAUUGAUGGCACCUUAGCCACACUACACCGGCUCUGGCACCAUAAAGGCGAUGGUAGAGAUCCCGUGGGAAGGUACCUUCGCCACACUACACCGGCUCUGGCACCAUUAAGGCGAUGGUACAUUCCGUGGGACUGUCGCGCAUGGUACCAGGCCAAGAUGCUCCCGCCAACCAUGAAAGCGGCCACCUGCUGCAAACAUUUGAAGAGUCAUUAUGUGAUUACUAUUACAUCUACAUCUGAUGAAUGAGAAUAACAAGUAGGAUGGUGAAUGAGAAGUCAACAUCCAACAUGAAUAGCUAGACAACAUGUAGAUAACAGGCUAAACUUCCUUUCCUGCUAAAUCUUUGAUAUUACCCCAGUAAUGCGAACCAACUGCUUCAAGCUUCUCAGAUGGACCCUUAUAUCCCUUAGUUCUUCUACCGAAACAAACUACUUGCCCCGGGAUAACCACCAUAUGUCCGUAAGACAACAACUUGCACCUUCCACUUGGCAUGGUUCAUAGUUGAUUGUGCCUCUUCAGCUCUCACGGGAUACAACCAGACAAUGUCAUGUAUAAUGCUCCAAUAAUCAGACAAUCAAGAUGCAUGAACUAAUAUGUAGACUCAAUCUUCUUAGUGAAGAUAUCUUAACAUGUGUUGACAUUUACAAAAAUGCCUGUCAUGAUUUCAUAGAUGACAAAGGCAGACAAUUACGAUGCCAACAUUGCCAGCACAUUAUAUUAGUGAACUCACACGUACAUGUACAUUCCGUAGUUUACCGGAUUUUAUUAUUGACAGAACAGGCAGAAGAUUUUAAAAGGUAAAUAGACAAAUAAGAAUCCAAGUAAUAUCAACAUUGGGAUGCUCUGGUUUAUAUAUCAUUGCUCUGAUUUCUUAAGCCUUUGGUUUUUUGUGCAAUAUAUUUUCCAUGUAAUAGCAAGCUGAAGGAUGAUAAGCUCAAAGAGGUUACCAGGACCAAAGAUGAUUAUCUAAAAGAAACCUUGAAGCAAAAAGCUGAUGUCGAUAAAACAGUAUAAGGCCUAAAAUAAAAACAUGUCUUCAUAGUAAAAGUCUUAGUCGUCCUAGAACAGUUCGAAAAGUCUUAGUGGCUUUAUCUAAAAAAAAAGAUGCUUAGUGGCUCUGCAUGCUAUGACAACCAUCAAUUGAAGUACAUAUCUCGCUGGACUUGAACUCUUGCGACUAAGAUAUCAAUUGAAACCCAGAUUCACCGAGAAGUAGGAAAUAUGGCUGCAAUAUAUCAAUGGCUCGAAUAAUGUGCAAUAUAUCAAUGGGCUUGAAUAAUGUGCAACAUAUCAAUAUGACAAUAUUAGCUAUCCACUACACAACCAAAUUUAACCGAAAAUCUAUAAGAUGAGUUCUAAUAAUAGCAAUCCAACAACUACUAAUCCAAACUCACUUGUGCAAACUUGCGGCCAUGCGGCAUCAGUAAAUGCGUAAGGAUGACCAUGUGCCCCAUAAUUGGAAAUCUGAAAUAAUAGACACCGAGUGUUAAUGGAGAAUAGCAAAAUAUGAAAAAACAGAUAAGAAGGUGAAAAUUCAACCUAACAUAUAUUAUCUCCCUCAGAAGCCAAUAGUAUGCACUGGAUGUGUCCAAGAUGCUGCUUUGACCUUGCUGAAUUUUUCAUGUGUUACCGUCAUAGGACACGAAAAAUGUGCAGCUAUAUACACCCAAGAAAUUGUCUCCAAGGUUCAGGCUACAAAAAAAAACAUAAAAAUCUGACGUAUUCGGAAAACCGUAGAGAACAAAAAGCGCUCAAACAACUUUGGCUCUAAGUCUGGUAGGCGACCAAGCACUGCAGCACCUCGUGACAUGCCUUCUCAAAUCUUGCAUUGAAGUAAUUUUACUUGCUGGCACAACUUUUUCUGUUCCAAAAUUCUUCGGGUUUGGUCAACCACCUUAUCAGAUUAUAUGAUUAUGAUAUAUCAAGCAAGAUUUAAGUCAUGUAACAUCACAACAUCCCAAAUUAGCAGGCAUGUCUUUAAGCUUCUGUAUGAGCUUGCAAAGAAAUUUUGUUGGCCCAUCUAGAUUGUCUGUGCAGAAGCAUUGAUCUCAGAUUGCUGGUUGUAUAUCUAAAAAAUUCAAACUAUAAUCCCAGGUUAAAUCUUGCAAACUACCCAGAAAGUUUAUAUCUCAAUAAAAAAUGCUUACACAUCAAUUUCUCACUUUUUUCUGAACCUCGUGUCAACAGAUUGCUAUAGUCAGUAGAGUGUAAUCAUAUUCAUAGCACGUCGUAUGAAAAUGGUAGAUAUCCUACUGCCUAUCUCUGGAAAAUUGAACAAUACCUAAACUGCAAUUAACUGUAAGCAGCCAUGCUUAACUUGGCUCAAACAGAAGCUUGAGAAGUUCCUUUUCUUGGUGGUUAACGUCUUAGAAGUUAGAAUGAACUGAAAGAAGUGCAUUAUUGGUUGAGUAGGAAGUUCUUGGUCUUGGAACCAUGGCAGUUGCCGGUUGCUAUCAUUUAAAAGAAGAGCCUUCAUUUUUAGCAGAGUUUCUGGAGUAUUUCACGCUUAAGUAAGAAAUAGUAGUCUUCUGGGUUGAACAUUAAAUAAUUAAGCAUGACAUGUCAUUGACUUAAAUAUUACACACGAAACUGGCCAGGGAUGAGUUAUACUCAAAUAAACUUGCAAAGUGUAAAUUACCUGUACGCAGGUUAGCCUCGAGCAAAUCUUUGUACAAAUCAAAUCAGAUCACAUAAAUUAUUCUUCUGAAUCGAACUGCAGUGUGUAGACGGCAGGGCGGUGGCGGCGUCGGGGCAAGGCAAUUCGUGCGCCUAGGCGGCCGCAUCCGAUGGAGAUGGAUGGAAGACGAAUCGGAGUGCUGGAAUGUCGCUGGCCCGGCUGGGCACGUGGAGACGUGGGGAGGCCACCAGUGUGGCGCCUGGGAUGCAGCGCGUGGGAAGAGACGGCGUGGGAGCGCGUGGGAGGCACGGCGGGGGAUUGGAUAAGGCCUGUGUGCUCUCUUUCUCCGUCGAGGACGACAGCGACGGCACCCAGGCCGGCUGCUCGCCUCGGUUCAAGGUUCUCGACCUUCUAUUGUAUGGGAGAAAGGUGGGGAUUGAUUUUUGGCCGCGAGGCAGAGGAAUUAGAUGCCGAUGGCACCAGGAGAGGAUGAACAGCGAGGGGAAGCGAGGGCCUCGACAGCGGUGGACUGCCCUCUGCCUCUCGAUGUGCCCCUCCUCCCCGGAGGCGGCGGUGGGGACCUUGGGGGGCGUGUAACCGUAGAGCGCCGGCCAGAGGCGGGCCAGGCGGCGGCCAUGAAACCUUGUGGGAGGUGCGGGCGGGGCUGGUGGGGGUGGGUGGUUUGAGACUUGGAGAGGAACGGGAGAUCGUGGGUGGGCGUGACGUUGGGGAGGGGAUCGGGAGUUCUGCUAUAGGCGUCCUUUUUUCCUUCUAUAAGAGCUAAACAUGUUAUAACUAAUGGCAGUGAUGGGUAAUUACACUGUCAAACACGUUUGAUUUGAUGGUGUGGUAUAACUUCAAUGAUCAGAUUAGCAUGGUUCAAUGGUUGAGAUGAUUUGGUUCUUCGCCCUUUCGUGCUUUUAUAUGGGUUGAUGGUUGAAAUUAUUUUUUCCCGAUGCUACUCAUUCCCAAGGUAUCUCCAUAUUAUAGAGUAUUUCAUUAAUAUUUCAAGCAGACCGUGGUCCCUCAAAGAUCCUAAGGUUGAGUAAAUGCGAUGAAAGAUCUUAAUCUACAAUUUUCUUUGUUUACACUACAAGGGCUCUGUCAAUUCUUGGUAUCCUCAUGAGCAUACCUAUAGAAAUCACUGCUAGGUACUGGUGAUCUAAACGCUCUUAUAUUUAUUUACGGAGGGAGUACCAAAUAUAGAGCACAUUUUUUUUAUAGAAUUAGUCACAUAUGAAGAGGAUGAUCAAAUGAUAAGAAUCCACUUUUUAGACUAGUAAGUUUGCACGUGCAACACACGUCUUAAUCGUUGGAAAGUGAAAUCACAUAAGUAUAAAAUAAAAUAAAAGGUGUUCUAAAAUAUAUGGAUUAAAUGGAUACACAAUGUUGUGAGUUCACAGAGGUUAUUUCUUAGAAGAGAGACUAAUUGUGAUGAUGUUGUUGCAUGGAGACAAUGAUAUAUUGUUUAAUACCGAGUGCUUAAUAGGCUGUAAAAGAUAAAAAAAAUUGUGGUUACAAUUGGAGAAUAGCCUUGCGCUGUGUUUAGUACAUGGAGAUGCAAUCCUUUGGUCUUAAUAUCAUGGUGUGAGCAAUUGAUACCUAAUCUUAGAAAAAGAUAUUAAUAUCAUGGUGUAAGCGAUUGAUAACCAAAAUAUGAGAAAAGUUCUAGGAUAAAGUUAGAUCCAUCGAUAUGAGAUUACUAACAAAAUGUUUAUGUAAAUCUCGAAAUGGCAUGAAAUUUCUGGAACUUGAUUACAUGUUGCAAAUACUCAAGAACUCAGCUUGAUGACUACUAAAAUGAAAAAGAUAUAUCCCAGAUAAAAAUAUCAAUGGCAUUGAACCAAUGGUCUGAAGUAAAAUCUUAACACCAACUGAUUUGAAGGAGUUCUUUCUUUUACAAUCAAAGGACUCACCUAUAUUGCUCAAGAUUACUCAGUUUGAAAAAAAGGCAAGAUCGUCCAGAGUGGCAUUACGCCACAGCCUCGGGUCAGUAACUUGCAAGGGUAGCUUUGCACACAGUGGUGCAUAGAAAUUAGGCUCUGCAAAGAAAAGACAGUACCGAACAAAAAUCCUGGCCCAACUCCUCAAUUUCACACAGGAGGCCCAUAAUCUCUUAUCUGUUUUGUUUUCUUGAGUUCCACAUGUCCACCAGUGC